UACGUAGGGCGCAAGCGUUAUCCGGAAUUAUUGGGCGUAAAGAGCGUGUAGGCGGCCUGGUAGGUCUGCUGUGAAAACUCGAGGCUCAACCUCGAGAUGUCGGCGGAAACCAUCUGGCUAGAGUCCGGAAGAGGAGAGUGGAAUUCCUGGUGUAGCGGUGAAAUGCGCAGAUAUCAGGAAGAACACCUAUGGCGAAGGCAGCUCUCUGGGACGGUACUGACGCUGAGACGCGAAAGCGUGGGGAGCGAACAGG
rnacentral:rRNA from 1 species